rnacentral:lncRNA from 10 species
GUUGCUGUAGACCGGAGCUGUUCCUAUUCGGCCAUCUUGGCUCCUCCCGUGAGAUUUUUAAAAACCAGAAAUGAAGAGCUCAGUUGAUCGUGGAUAACUGACAUAAGGAAGGCAAAAGUGGGUGAAGGAGGCCUGCUGAAUUGGGAAAUUGUUAGACAACAUUCUACAACGGCUGAACAGUGCUUGUCAUUUCAGUGCUGUACAAGAAUAUUAAUGAUGUGGAAAGCUGUCCAUUAUAAUAAAGUUCAAAAAGAA